GAUGAAGAACGCAGCGAAAUGCGAUAAGUAAUGCGAAUUGCAGAAUUCAGUGAGUCAUCGAAUCUUUGAACGCACAUUGCGCCCUGUGGUAUUCCGCAGGGCAUGCCUGUUCGAGCGUCAUUUCAACCCUCAAGCUCUGCUUGGUGUUGGGCCCUGCCCGCUGCGGCCGGCCCUAAAGACAGUGGCGGUGCCGCCUGGCCCUGAGCGUAGUACAUCUCUCGCUCCAGUGCCCGGUGGUAGCCUGCCAGAACCCCAACUCUCGUUGUUGACCUCGGAUCAGGUAGGGAUACCCGCUGAACUUAAGCAUAUCAAUAAGCGGAGGA
rnacentral:misc_RNA from 1 species